rnacentral:rRNA from 1 species
GCAUAUCAAUAAGCGGAGGAUAAGAAACUAACAAGGAUUCCAUUAGUAACGGCGAGUGAACCGGGAAAAGCUCAAAUUUGUAAUCUGGCUGUCUUCGAUAGUCCGAGUUGUAAUCUAUAGACGUGUUUUCCGUGCUGGACCGUAUCUAAGUCCCUUGGAACAGGGUAUCAAAGAGGGUGACAAUCCCGUGCUUGAUACGACCACCAGUGCUCUGUGAUACACGUUUUACGAGUCGAGUUGUUUGGGAAUGCAGCUCAAAAUGGGUGGUAAAUUCCAUCUAAAGCUAAAUAUUGGCGAGAGACCGAUAGCGAACAAGUACCGUGAGGGAAAGAUGAAAAGCACUUUGGAAAGAGAGUUAACAGUACGUGAAAUUGUUGGAAGGGAAACGCUUGAAGUCAGACUUGCUUGCCGAGCAAUCGGUUUGCAGGCCAGCAUCAGUUUUCCGGGAUGGAUAAUGGUAGAGAGAAGGUAGCAGUUUCGGCUGUGUUAUAGCUCUCUGCUGGAUACAUCUUGGGGGACUGAGGAACGCAGUGUGCCUUUGGCGGGGGUUUCGACCUCUUCACACUUAGGAUGCUGGUGGAAUGGCUUUAAACGACCCGUCUUGAAACACGGACC